UUCCACUAACCAUGUGGAAAAUAGUUUUGAAUUUGAAAAUAUGGAUAUUUGUACUCUCAUUUAAGUUCAGCUAAACAUUGAAAAAUUACCAAAGAAAACCAUUACUUGAAGUCUUCAUUAUUUAAAAUGAAAACAACGAUUUGCAUUUGUAGUUUUUAGCUAGAGGAAAGAGGAUUGACUCAUUUGAAAUGUGCUGCUACAAAUGAUAGAUUGAAGCCUGUGGGGUAGCAAACCAUUUAAUAUUGUUCCCUUAAGGGGCAAAUCACCAAGGAGAAAAUGAAACCUAAAACAAUUAACUAGAGAAGUCAAUGCCUAAGAAGAAGACACAAAGGAAAGAGUUCAAAGAAAAAGGAAGUGAAAGAAUUUGACAGUGCUUUCAUAAUAGAGAAAAAUACAAUAGUAUGGUACUUUUCACUGCUGUGUAGCCCUAAAAAUCCAAACCAGUAUUUUUGUGGUGUAUAUUGAAAUGUGGCAACACACCUGUUGCACCAUGUAUUUUCUAUAAACUUAAGGAAAUAAAUCUACUUCACAGUUUAAUGGUGAAGCAUAAUUUUAUACUGGCCAGUAUAACAGAUGGCAAUUAGAAAUCGGGUUUCUUAAUGUUAUUUUCUGUGAGAUAUUCUAACGAAAAUUGAACUUUAAACUACGACUCACUCUGUUCUGAUAGGUUAAGAUGUGUUCUUUUGAACUCAGAAUAAAUUCUGUAGUACAGAUGGGAAGAUUAAAACAUCCCCAUGCUUUGCUCAAUAAACAGUUUGGAAAUUCCCCAGACUUCCAGCAUAUAUUCAUCCAUUCCCAAGAGAUUAAUUAGUGAUUCAUUGUAUUUAUUGCUUUUGAGAUGCUCUAAAAACCAGCUGCCUUGUUUGUCUAUCCCCUUCAAUUUGCUGAUUGUGUUAAGUGUUAGAUUAUUCUAAAAAUAUCAAGGUUGUUUGUUUAAUUUUAGUCUCAUAAAGAACCAUUUGAUAUGUGGGUUGAACAAUUUACUGACAAACAGUUCUUUCGUGAAGCACUUCAAUCCCACACCCACAUAGUGUUCAUCUGGCAGCUAAAUAAAUGAUGACCAGGAUCCUGCCCUCAGCCUCUGGACUGAAUUCAAGUUUAACAACUUUUCAUCUUAACCCUGCUGAGACUAGGUAACUUGUUGUAGAUGAAACCUGAACUUGCCGUGGAAAUUUGAUACUGUUUAAAAAUUAAUUUUCUACCUUUUUACCUCUCAAUUGUUUUCCCCAUUCUCUUGAGUGUGAACAUUUAGAGUAUUUUCUUGGCUAGCUUUCAAAAUAAGUUGGUUGAUUUUAAUUAUUAAUAUUUUGUUGCCAAGAAUAAAACACAGAAACACUUAUUUGUCACAAGGUUUUGACCAUGUGACAGGCAACAACUUCUGAAUUUUAAGUAAUAAAGCUCCCAACACGCUUUAUGUAGCUUUUAAUUGUGUACUUUCCUAUUUGUAGUAAGUGGAAGACAGAUGUUAUGACUGAAUGACUUAUUUGGCAACAACCAAGAUAUUUAAAGAAUAAAAGAGGCAAGACUGAAUAUCGAGCUACUGGAAAAUGAUGCUCAAGAGGGAGUAAUAGGACAAAGAUGACAGACAAAUUCAUGCUGCAGGCUCCAACUGAGCAAAUGAAGGCGCAUGCAUGGGUCCAUCCCCCAAGCUCUCAGUAAGUUAAGGUUUUCACCAAUGUCAUGGAGUCACCAGAAAAACCUGUAUUUCUCAGAAUUCUCCAAAUUACAACCAAGAGAAAAUCUGCAGAUGCUGGGAAUCCAAGCAACAUAAACAAAAUGCAUGGUUUCAGGAACUCAGCAGGCCAGGCAGCAGUGUACAGUCGCUGCUUCAGGCUGAGAAAAAAAGACAAAGGAUAGAGUUAAAAGGUGAGGGGAGGGGAGAAAGA